GAUGAACGCUGGCGGCGUGCUUAACACAUGCAAGUCGAACGGAAAGGCCAGUGCUUGCACUGGUGCUCGAGUGGCGAACGGGUGAGUAACACGUGGGUGAUCUGCCCUGCACUUUGGGAUAAGCCUGGGAAACUGGGUCUAAUACCAGAUAGGACCAUGCUUUGGAUGGUGUGGUGGAAAGUUUUUUCGGUGUGGGAUGAGCUUGCGGCCUAUCAGCUUGUUGGUGGGGUAAUGGCCUACCAAGGCGUCGACGGGUAGCCGGCCUGAGAGGGUGUACGGCCACAUUGGGACUGAGAUACGGCCCAGACUCCUACGGGGGGCAGCAGUGGGGAAUAUUGCACAAUGGGCGCAAGCCUGAUGCAGCGACGCCGCGUGGGGGAUGACGGCCUUCGGGUUGUAAACUCCUUUCGCAACUGACGAAGCUUUUUGUGACGGUAGGUUGAGAAGAAGCACCGGCUAACUACGUG
rnacentral:rRNA from 1 species